UCACUUAGGUUAUUUAGCUCUCUUUUUUCCUCUAUAACUUUCACGGCUUCCAUUGCAUUCAUCGAUAUCGACAAAAGUGGACUCUUCUCCAACUAUCACAACAAAGUUCACAAUCAAAUGCCACAGCCCCAACCAAUCAUGGUAGAAUUGUUGGGUCUAGUUCAGAAGAGUAUCAAAUGAUAUUAGUGACGGUGAUGGACAUCUGGUUCUAUUAUUUUAUAAUACUUUUAAGAAAAAAAAUAUGAAAAAUAGCUUUUGUGAAAUUUUUUUGAGCAUAUAUAUUCG
rnacentral:lncRNA from 1 species